rnacentral:tRNA from 1 species
GGGGGAUUAGCUCAGUUGGCUAGAGCAUUUGGCUGGCAGUCAAAGGGUCAUCGGUUCGAAUCCGAUAUUCUCCAC